CCUUUCUCUUAUAACCAUACGUAUGCCCCUUCUUUCAUUUCUCUGUUUUCCUGUCUCACUCAGCCACCGAAGCCCACAGACAUACACCCUCUAGUUCCCUCUAUUUCUCUCACUCCCUCACCAGUAAACCAACCAUCCACCACCACUUUUGGCGGAUUUCACCGGAGAACCCCAGUAGAAACCCCAUACACUCCAUUCUCUCAAAGCUUUAAAGUUUUUCAGAUAAAUUAGCUACACGUCGAGCAUAGAGCUUAAUUUAUUGGUGGUGAUUGGAGUGCUAUAUUAAAUUGGGAGACUUGGGCCAUUAAUGGUUAAUGACUCAAUCUUGCAAAGUUCAACAAGAUCAUAAUCAAUUCUAUUGGAGGUUGGAUACUUGAGGUCUGUUAGGCUUGGGUGCGGGAGGCCUAGAUUUUUGUUGAGGUUGCAUACCUUGGAGAGGAUCAUGACUUUGUGUUUAUUGUAUUUGGAAUGUUGGAUUGUUAAGUGUAUUUUGAGGCACAUGAUUUGUAGUUUGUAUUGCUUGUAAAUGUGUCAUCGAGCUCUGACUUGUAUUGUGGAGAGAUCAAUAUAUUUAUUUAUAUU